GCACUGUAGCACAUAUACUAAAAUUGGAACGAUACAGAGAAGAUUAGCAUGGCCCCUGUGCAAGUUCACCUUUUGACAUCAGGAAAAUGUGUAUCCAUCCUAU